rnacentral:rRNA from 1 species
GACGAACGCUGGCGGCGUGCUUAACACAUGCAAGUCGAACGGAAAGGCCCUGCUUUUGUGGGGUGCUCGAGUGGCGAACGGGUGAGUAACACGUGAGUAACCUGCCCUUGACUUUGGGAUAACUUCAGGAAACUGGGGCUAAUACCGGAUAGGAGCUCCUGCUGCAUGGUGGGGGUUGGAAAGUUUCGGCGGUUGGGGAUGGACUCGCGGCUUAUCAGCUUGUUGGUGGGGUAGUGGCUUACCAAGGCUUUGACGGGUAGCCGGCCUGAGAGGGUGACCGGCCACAUUGGGACUGAGAGAGGGCCCAGACGGCUACGGGAGGCAGCAGUGGGGAAUAUUGCACAAUGGGCGGAAGCCUGAUGCAGCAACGCCGCGUGCGGGAUGACGGCCUUCGGGGUGUAAACCGCUGUCGCCUGUGACGAAGCGUGAGUGACGGUAAUGGGUAAAGAAGCACCGGCUAACUACGUG